UAUUCAGUGUCUAGUGUUUAUAUAUGAGACAAUUGUUAAGUGAUAUGUGACUCAGUUUAGUGCAACGUGGAGUCGUUAAAUCAGCUACCCAAAACACAGAAAUCGACAUACAGAGAAUAAUGUUAAAUCGAAGAACAAAAGCCGAUUACAUCAGCAAAUAAAGAUAAAGUUCUCUUCAAAAACGAUGUCGGAAAAAGAUCUAUCAAUAUCUGGAUCAGUUGCUAUCACGAUUUGCUAUGGUAUCGUCGGUGCAUUUUUUAUGUUAAACUUUUUGUCAAGAAGAAGAUAUAACUACCCUUUACUCAAAAAGAAGAUUUAUGAAAUCCGGUUAUUUAUCACAAAUGCAAAACGAAAAUACAUCGAUGAUUGGUUGACAAAGCUGAAGAGGGACGGUGAAGAUAUCCGUGCAAACUACCUCCCAUCAUCGGAACCACUACCAAAAGAUCAGCCAUAUAAAUACUACCCUAUCAUGAUCCCACCAACACCUCUCUCACAGUAUGUUGACAGAAUGAAUAUGAAACUUCUAAAUGAACUGAAGAAAAAGGAUAGGGUAAAAAAGGAUAGGGUAAAGCGUAUCAUAAAACAACGAUUAGAUUCCAAGGACGGUUACGAGGCCGAAGUGGAAGUUUUUCGGGCCCUUGAAAGAUUGAAACUGAACGAGAACAUGAUAUUCGUUCUGCAUAGUUUGAAGUACAGUCAGAGGGAUUAUCAUUAUUUUGUUGGAGAAGCACAACAAGGAGAGUGUGAUUUUAUCAUAAUGGGAAGGAACUAUUUCGUCAUCAUAGAAGUUAAGAAAAAUCAUGCAGACGUGAAGAAGGCUAUGGAUCAAGCUAAACGAACUGAGAAGCUUAUUGCAGGCAUUAUGGCUCAAAUUACUGAUAAAGUAGUACCUCAGAUUUUGAACUUCGCUGCAUGUCCCUUCUUCGCAGGGAAAUUGAAAGAUGCGAAAACUAUAACAAAAGAAGAUCUAAAAGAUGACAGGAGCUUUUAUUCAUGGUGGGAAAAAAACGUUAUCGACAAAGUAGAUCAGCAAACUUCUUCUAUGUAUAAUGAAAAAACUCGAGACAUUCUUAUCGCGUUGUGGGCCAUGAAUAAAAACAAUAAAUGUGAGAAAGAAAGGUGCUCCUUGGAGUGGAACGUACUGAAGAUUGAUAAGGAACUAAAAGAUGGCCUGAUCACAUUUGAGCCGAAAAAAGACACGGGGACAGCAAGCCUAGAUGUUGUUGAAGCACCCGAGGUAAUCAGAAAAUAUUGUGGAGUUAAGUACCUGACAACAGAGCAAAAUAAAGUAUGGCAACGUUUCGGUUUUCUAAGAUACAAAACAGAGCAAAAUACGGUAUUUCAGUGUCUCGGUUUACAAAAAUACAACGUAUUUGAACGCUCACUAAGAUACAAAAUAGAUCAUCAAGAUAGGGUAUCUGAAUUUGUAUUAAGAAUAUACGAAGAGGUGAUACUAGGAUCAAAUCGUGAAGAUGAGUUAUAUGAACGUUUAAAAAUACACAAAACAGAGGAAGAUAAGGUAUUUAAACGUUUUCAUGGAUACCAAAAAGAUGAAGAAAAUGAGUUAUUUGAACGGUUACUAAGAUACAAAACAGAAGAAGAAAGUUCUCUGAGAGACCACACAGAGGAAGAUGAGUUAUAUGAACGUUUACUAAGAUACAAAACAGAGGAAGAUAAGGUAUUUGAAUGUUUUCUAAGAUACAAAACAGAAGAAGAUAAGGUAUUUGAACGUUUACUAAGUUCUGAUACACUGAUACUCCUUACUGAUAUUCCUUACAACGACAAAUUUAGAAAUGAGUUUGAAGUUUUGCUAAAACUCAAAACAGAGAAAGAUUUGGUAUUUGAACGUUUGCAAAAAUACAAAACAGAGGAAGAUAAGGUAUUUAAACCUUUACUAAGAGACAAAACAGAGUUAUUUCAACAUGCAUUAAGAUCCCACAUACCAUUUCUAGUAUGGAUUGAUGGACCAGCUGGGAGUGGGAAAACUGUGCUUCUGGCAGGGAGACUGCUACAACUAGCUCUGCAAUUAGAUACAGUACAGAGAAGUGUUGUUUUCAAAUUCAUUGAAGGAAACAGCGACACUGACUCUACAGAAGGAGAAGAACACCUUACAAUAUAUCAAAGAGCAUGUCAGGAAGCAGGCGUGGAUGUCAAGCUUAUCUUUCCUUCUAACUCUGGAGAAAUACAUUCAUUGGCAGAGCAGAUAAUGAACAGUAAUAAAACUGUAACAAUUAUAGAGUUGAAAUAUGUUGAUAUCAAAUAUCUGAAAUAUACAUUUGCUAAUCUUGAGUGCUUUCAGCGGAAUGUGAUUAUAGAUGAUUUUCAGUGCCUGUUACGUUGGUAUGACAAAGCUGGUAUCGGUGACCUGCUGAAUAAACUGAACAGAUUUUAUAGAGUUUCGGGGUUAAGUCUGCUAAUAGCAUGUGAUCUAGGACAGUGGUAUUGGCGUGACAGCAAAUAUAUUGAAAGUGUAAGAAAUUGCAUUGAAAGGUAUUGGGCUUUUGAAAAACAGGAGUUAAAAAAGAAUCUUAGGAACACUUGUGAUAUAUCAGAUAUUUUAUCCGUUUUUAGAGAUAAAUACAUAGAAUGUGCGCUAGACUGUGACAUGUUACCGAAGCAACUUCCGGGUCAUUUCAUCCGAGGCCCACUAACUGAAUUUCAUAUAUUUGAAAAGUUUGAUCGUGAUUUAAUCACGAUAAAAUUUAAAUUUAAUCAAGAAUUGAUCAAGUUAUGCAGAAUUAACGAUUCAGAUAAUUCUAAAUAUGGGACCGUAGUUUACAAUCAUGUUGGCGAAGCACUAAUUGAAAGCAUAUCGGAUGUGAAUAAAGAAAAGAUAAAGGUGUGUCACUGUGCACAAAUCAACUCAGCUGAAUGGCCGGCUGUUCUUGUGGUACAUAAUAUAUGGGGCGAUGGCUUUGAAAAAGAGGACUUUACUCAACUUUAUCUUAUGAUAUCACGAGCUCGGGUAAAAUGUUCCGUUUUGAUGUAUAGAAGAGGAUGGCCGUGGCGAAUGAAUAAAAUGUUAGUAGAAAAAAUAGAACCUUUGGCUUGUGUUAUCAAAUAUUAGAUUUCUUUCUUAUUUGCUAACAGUGCAUGGGAGCCUUUCAGUUCAGAGACCGGGACAUUCUGACCGUAGGAUACAUUCUGACCGUAAGAUACUAAAGACUUCAGGGUCCAUUUUUUCUCGAUGUUCAAGAACGUCAAAUAUAUGAACAGCUUCUGAAGCUGUGGCAUGUUUGAUCGAUACUAAAGACCUGCAGGCAGUGUUGAACUGAGACCGAUGAAAGUGACAUUAGCUUGUGCGGCAUCUGCAGUGAAAUUAGUCCUUUCUCGAGCAAGUAAUCUAAAGAAAUCUCAAUCAGCCAUAAAAUGUACCACACUUGGUUACAUCACACCUGACAGAAACAGGGAGGAGAGAACAGCUCAUCAGAAACUUUUUCUCAAAAUAAAGGAUAUGAUCAUUGCUGAGCCAAAAAAGUAUCACUAUCUUAAGCAGGAUUUUAAGUAUAGAUAAGACAGUUACUGUCACCAAGAUAGUACUAUUAGUCACCAAGGUGUAACAAUCAGCGCAUUGGUUAUCUAUAGUACUUUGUUUUGAGUGUAUGUAAGCAUGUACAACUGUUAACUGAUUCGUAAAUUUGAUGAUUUUUUGUGAACACUUUUUUAAAUGAGGAACUUUUUUGUGAGUCUUAAAACUGCAACCGUGAUUGUAACUCAGGUAUGUGAUGACUUGUGGAUCGCACAUCGCUGAAUAGCAAUCGCGAAGCAGGUUUCACCCAGGUCAGGUUUGUCUAGGCUAUUCUCUGAGGGCACACUGUGUUUAUGUUUUGUGUUGUGUGCCAAGGUACAUCGUUUGAUUUUAUAUAUUUUCGUAUGUCUUACAGUUACCGGUAUCAAUAUUCAAUAUCUAUCAUAUAUAUUCUAUGUGAUUCAAUUAUUUUUCGAGUAAACAUUAAUCGGGGAACCAAAACCCGAUUCCCAAUCAAUC